rnacentral:rRNA from 1 species
GGUCAAGCUACUAAGGGCGCAUGGGGGAUGUCUUGGCGUUGGAAGGCGAUGAUAGGCGUGGAAGACUGCGAUAAGCCUGGGGAAGCUGUCAAACGAGCGAUGAUCCCGGGGUUCCUUAGCAAACCUGGCGAACUGAAACAUCUAAGUAGCCAGAGGAAGAGAAAGAAAAAUCGAUUCCCUUAGUAGCGGCGAGCGAACGGGGACUAGCCCAAACCGCGGAGGUCUUCCUCUGCGGGGUUGUAGGGCCCUUCACAUGAGAGUUACCAAGCAGCCGGUUAGCAGAACUUGCCUGGAAAGGCAGACCAUAGAGGGUGACAGUCCCGUAAGCGAAAAUCGCGCUGCCUCUCGAGGGGUACCUGAGUAGGUCGGGCCACGUGGAAUCCUGACUGAAUCUACGGGGACCAUCCCGUAAGGCUAAAUACUCUCCAACGACCGAUAGCGAACUCAGUAGGGCGACUGAAAGAUGGGAAGAACCCCUGCUAGGGGAGGUACUGAACCUGAAACCAUGUGCCUACAAGCGGUUGGAGCACUAUGACGAGCUUGCUCGUAAUGUGUGACAGCGUGCCUUUUGCAUAAUGAUCCGGCGAGUUACCGUUCAUGGCGUGGUUAAGGCCUUCCGGGCCGAAGCCUCAGGGAAACCGAGUCUUAAUAGGGCGACAAUUGUCAUGGGCGGUAGACGCGAAACUGAGUGAACUACCCAUGAGCAGGUUGAAGCGCGGGUUAUACUGCGUGGAGGACCGAACCCACUUGGGUUGAAAACCGAGGGGAUGACUUGUGGGGAGGAGUGAAAGUCUAAUCAAACGCAGAGAUAGCUCGUUCUCUCCGAAAUAG